rnacentral:rRNA from 1 species
AUACGGAGGGGGCUAGCGUUGUUCGGAAUUACUGGGCGUAAAGCGCGCGUAGGCGGUCUGUUUAGUCAGGCGUGAAAGCCCUGGGCUCAACCCAGGAACUGCGUUUGAAACUGGCGGACUAGAGUUCGGGAGAGGAGAGUGGAAUUCCCAGUGUAGAGGUGAAAUUCGUAGAUAUUGGGAAGAACACCAGUGGCGAAGGCGGCUCUCUGGACCGAUACUGACGCUGAGGUGCAAAAGCGUGGGGAGCAAACAGGAUUAGAAACCCUAGUAGUCC